rnacentral:lncRNA from 14 species
AUGGACAGGGAUAUGACUUUUAUUCUCUCAUCAGGGAUGUGUUGGUUUGGAGAUCCGCCUUGUGCUCCUCAGAGGCCUCUGCUGGCAUGGAGGGACCCUGGACUGAGAAGCUGGCCGCUUGGGAUUUUCCCAUAUUUUUCAGGUCGGCACAUCCUGUGGGACUUGGGAUUACUUUUCUUUGGCAGUUUAGGACAAAUGAGGGAGAAUUACCUUGUGAGAGCUGAACCUUUACCACCUCUGCUUUGGACUGAAGAGCUGCUGCUAUUACAUCCAUGGCAUUUCCAAGCUAAACACAUUUCUGGUGCCAAAAAGCAGCCUGGAAGACUGAAGUCCUCUCUGUUUAGCUGCCCUGUCUUUAGGAAAACGCCUUGUGAGGAUCCAGAACCAGACUUCGUGUUCAAAGCCAUUAUCAGUGUGUAAGCUGAUAUCCUCUGUCUUGGCAACAAAUGAGCCCAAACACCAAACAGCACCAAUGCCUUCUUGGAGAAAAUUAUCCGUCGCAUAAAACGUUAAUGGGUAAGCAAUAAAAUUAGGCCUGUAAUUCA